rnacentral:rRNA from 1 species
UUAUAUACAACCUCAACUCAUAUGGGACUACCCCCUGAAUUUAAGCAUAUUAAUUAGGGGAGGAAAAGAAACUAACAAGGAUUUUCUUAGUAGCGGCGAGCGAAAAGAAAACAGUUCAGCACUAAGUCACUUUGUCUAUAUGGCAAAUGUGAGAUGCAGUGUAUGGAGCGUCAAUAUUCUAGUAUGAGAAAUUAACGAUUUAAGUCCUUCUUAAAUGAGGCCAUUUACCCAUAGAGGGUGCCAGGCCCGUAUAACGUUAAUGAUUACUAGAUGAUGUUUCCAAAGAGUCGUGUUGCUUGAUAGUGCAGCACUAAGUGGGUGGUAAACUCCAUCUAAAACUAAAUAUAACCAUGAGACCGAUAGUAAACAAGUACCGUGAGGGAAAGUUGAAAAGAACUCUGAAUAGAGAGUUAAACAGUACGUGAAACUGCUUAGAGGUUAAGCCCGAUGAACCUGAAUAUCCGUUAUGGAAAAUUCAUCAUUAAAAUUGUAAUAUUUAAAUAAUAUUAUGAGGAUAGUGUGCAUUUUUUCCAUAUAAGGACAUUGUAAUCUAUUAGCAUAUACCAAAUUUAUCAUAAAAUAUAACUUAUAGUUUAUUCCAAUUAAAUUGCUUGCAUUUUAACACAGAAUAAAUGUUAUUAAUUUGAUAAAGUGCUGAUAGAUUAAUAUGAUUACAGUGCGUUAAUUUUUCGGAAUUAUAUAAUGGCAUAAUUAUCAUUGAUUUUUGUGUUUAUUAUAUGCACUUGUAUGAUUAACAAUGCGAAAGAUUCAGGAUACCUUCGGGACCCGUCUUGAAAACACGGACCAAGGAGUCUAACAUAUGUGCAAGUUAUUGGGAUAUAAACCUUAAUAGCGUAAUUAACUUGACUAAUAAUGGGAUUAGGUUUUUUAACUAUUUAUAGCUAAUUAACACAAUCCCGGGGCGUUCUAUAUAGUUAUGUAUAAUGUAUAUUUAUAUUAUUUAUGCCUCUAACUGGAACGUACCUUGAGCAUAUAUGCUGUGACCCGAAAGAUGGUGAACUAUACUUGAUCAGGUUGAAGUCACGGGAAACCCUGAUGGAAGACCGAAACAGUUCUGACGUGCAAAUCGAUUGUCAGAAUUGAGUAUAGGGGCGAAAGACCAAUCGAACCAUCUAGUAGCUGGUUCCUUCCGAAGUUUUCCUCAGGAUAGCUGGUGCAUUUUAAUAUUAUAUAAAAUAAUCUUAUCUGGUAAAGCGAAUGAUUAGAGGCCUUAGGGUCGAAACGAUCUUAACCUAUUCUCAAACUUUAAAUGGGUAAGAACCUUAACUUUCUUGAUAUGAAGUUCAAGGUUAUGAUAUAAUGUGCCCAGUGGGCCACUUUUGGUAAGCAGAACUGGCGCUGUGGGAUGAACCAAACGUAAUGUUACGGUGCCCAAAUUAACAACUCAUGCAGAUACCAUGAAAGGCGUUGGUUGCUUAAAACAGCAGGACGGUGAUCAUAGAAGUCGAAAUCCGCUAAGGACUGUGUAACAACUCACCUGCCGAAGCAACUAGCCCUUAAAAUGGAUGGCGCUUAAGUUUUAUACCUAUACGUUACCGCUAAAGUAGAUGAUUUAUAUUACUUGUGAUAUAAAUUUUGAAACUUUAGUGAGUAGGAAGGUACAAUGGUAUGCGUAGAAGUGUUUGGCGUAAGGUGGUAGUAGCAAAUAAUCGAAUGAGACAUUGGAGGACUGAAGUGGAGAAGGGUUUCGUGUGAAUAGUGGUUGAUCACGAGUUAGUCGGUCAUAAGUUCAAGGCGAAAGCCGAUAAUUUUCAAGUAAAACAAAAAUGCCAAAUUAUAUAAACAAAGCGAAAAUAAUACACUUGAAUAAUUUUGAACGAAAGGGAAUAUGGUUCCCAUUCCGUAACCUGUUGAGUAUCCGUUUGUUAUUAAAUAUGGGCCUCGUGCUCAUCCUGGCAACAGGAACGACCAUAAAGAAGCCGUCGAGAGAUAUCGGAAGAGUUUUCUUUUCUGUUUUAUAGCCGUACUACCAUGGAAGUCUUUCGCAGAGAGAUAUGGUAGAUGGGCUAGAAGAGCAUGACAUAUACUGUUGUGUCGAUAUUUUCUCCUCGGACCUUGAAAAUUUAUGGUGGGGACACGCAAACUUCUCAACAGGCCGUACCAAUAUCGGCAGCUGGUCUCCAAGGGUAAGUGUCUAUGUCGAUAGAAUAAUGUAGGUAAGAAAAGUCGGCAAAUUAGAUCCGUAACUUCGGGAUAAGGAUUGGCUCUGAAUAUUGAGAUAGUCGGGCUUGAUUGGGAAACAAUAACAUGGUUUAUGUGCUCGUUAUGGGUAAAUAGAGUUUCUAGCAUUUAUGUUAGUUAUGGUAUGUAUUAUGUUUUUUCGCCGGCCGAAGAGCAGUAAUCCGAAGCAGUGAAUGUGCCGGUAACUAGAGGUUGCCCGCAGGGGUCAAUCAGCGGCCCAUUUUAUUUGGGACAUGCUGAUGGAUGUACUGCUUCAGCGCCUCGAGCCGUAUUGCCUGCUAAGUGCAUACGCGGAUGACCAGCUUCUCCUGAUCGAUGGAAAUUCCCGAGCCGUGCUAAAGGAAAAAGGAGAGCAACUGAUGUCCAUCGUUGAAACGUGGGGAGCGGAAAUAGGCGUAAUAAUGCUGCUCAAAGGUGCCUUGAAACGUGCGCCUACGGUAAGAUUCGCUGGAGAGAACCUUCAAGGACAUUGCCAGGUAGGGGUUUGACUGGGGCGGUAUAUCUCUCAAAUAAUAACGGAGGUGUCCCAAGGCCAGCUCUGUGCGGACAGAAACCAAACAUAGAGCAAUAGGGCAAAUGCUGACUUGAUCUCGGUGUUCAGUACACACAGGGACAGCAAAAGCUCGGCCUAUCGAUCCUUUUGGUUUAAAGAGUUUUUAACAAGAGGUGUAAGAAAAAGAAAACUUACCAUAGGGAUAACUGGCUUGUGGCGGCCAAGCGUUCAUAGCGACGUCGCUUUUGAUUGAUGUCAACUCUUCCUAUCAUUGGGAAGCAAAAUUCACCAAGCGUUGGAAGGGAACCAUGAAAGGGAACGUGAGCUGGUUUAGUUAGUUAGUUAGUUAGUAGACAGGUUAGUUUUACCCUACUAAUGACAAAACGUUGUUGCGACAACAUUCCUGCGUAGUACGAGAGCAACCGCAGGUACGGACCCAUGGCACAAGACUUGUUUGAGCGAACAGUGGUAUGACGCUACGUCCGUUGGAUUACGCCUGAACGCCUCUAAGGUCGUAUCCGUGCUGGACUGCGAUGAUAAAUAAGGGGCAAUUUGCAUUGUAUGGCUUCUAAGCCAUUUAAAGUUUAUAAUUUACUUUAUAAACGGCAAUGGAUGUGAUGCCAAUGUAAUUUGUAACAUAGUAAAUUGGGAGGAUCUUCAAUCACCUGAUGCCGCGCUAGUUACAUAUAAAAGCAUUAUUUAAUAUAAUGACAAAGCCUAGAAUCAAUUGUAAACGACUUUUGCAACAGGCAAGGUGUUGUAAGUGGUUGAGCAGCUGCCAUACUGCGAUCCACUGAAGCUUAUCCUUUGCUUGAUGAUUCGA